rnacentral:rRNA from 1 species
CGUAGGUGGUUUGUUAAGUCGGAUGUGAAAGCCCCGGGCUCAACCUGGGAACUGCACCCGAUACUGGCCGACUAGAGUGCGGGAGAGGGAGGUAGAAUUCCACGUGUAGCGGUGAAAUGCGUAGAUAUGUGGAGGAAUACCGGUGGCGAAGGCGGCCUCCUGGCCUGACACUGACGCUGAGGUGCGAAAGCGUGGGGAGCAAACA